rnacentral:rRNA from 1 species
UACGUAGGGUGCGAGCGUUGUCCGGAAUUAUUGGGCGUAGAGAGCUUGUAGGCGGUUUGUCGCGUCUGCCGUGAAAAUCCGAGGCUCAACCUCGGACUUGCGGUGGGUACGGGCAGACUAGAGUGUGGUAGGGGAGACUGGAAUUCCUGGUGUAGCGGUGAAAUGCGCAGAUAUCAGGAGGAACACCGAUGGCGAAGGCAGGUCUCUGGGCCACUACUGACGCUGAGAAGCGAAAGCAUGGGGAGCGAACAGG